AUGGGGCCUCCCCUACCCCUACCCAGGGCGCACUGGACAACGACCCCCGCAGAUCACAUGGUGCUCAUGCUCCUGGGCGCCAACGCGUCCGUCUUCAUGCUCUGGCGCGUGCUCGCGUAUCCCGCCUUCAUGGCGGAUCCUUACAUGGUUUCGCUGGACUUGAACUUGGGCGGACGUCUGCACACGCUGCUCAUGAGCACCUCCAGCCUCGUGGAUCCAGCGUUCAUGGUGAAACAUUUCAUGGUUUCGCUGCCUGGUUUGGUGCGUUGGCGUUUCCACACAUUGCUCACGUAUGCUUUCAGCCACGUAGAUCCUAAACACCUCUUCAACAAUAUGUUUGGCCUCUACUUCUUCGGCUCAAGUGUUGCAAGAGAGUUUGGUCCUGCUUUUCUUUUAAAGUUGUACGUAGCAGGAGCACUUAGUGGGGCUCUGUUCUACUUGGCUGAAAUGUUAUUUCUAGCUCCACGGAGACAGGUAACAUGCUUACGACAUCAACGUAUAUGCAUUAGGGAACUGGAUUCCAAAUCCUGGACAUCAAUUACUUCUGAUUAUCAAAUGAAAUCCUAUGAUAUGAUUAUCUUGGGUUUACCACUUCAUUUUUUGUGGUACUUCUGUGUGAGAAGGUUGGUAUUCAGUCACUUCGCCGCUCAUGCUAGCUACUGGAUGCUAGCAAAUCGUCUAGGAUCUAGUGCUAAGAUCUGA
rnacentral:rRNA from 1 species